CAAGAGAUGAGUCAUCCCUGACUUUAAGUCAGUAAGGGUUGUUGUAGACUACGACGUAGAUAGGUCAGGUGUGUAAGUGUAGUGAUACAUUGAGCUAACAGAUACUAAUUGCCCGAGAGGCUUAACUAUACAACGCUCAAG
rnacentral:rRNA from 1 species